rnacentral:RNase_P_RNA from 1 species
UCUAUCAGCCGGCCGUCGUUCUUUCGUUUUAUGCGAAAGGAAGGAAAGUCCGGACAGCAUAGGGCAACACACCGGUUAACAGCCGGCUCCUGGUUUUACCAGGAAGAGACAGUGCCACAGAAAAUAACCGCCCUGCAAAGGGUAAGGGUGAAAAUGUGAGGUAAGCGCUCACAGUUUUGAUUGGUAACAAUCAUUACGGGUAAACCUUGUGUGCUGUAAUGCCACGUAUAUCAGCGUUUGAGGGCGGCCCGCCCGAGCUGAAGGGUAGGCAGCAAGAUUGUGUUAGUAAUAACGCAGCAAGAUAAAUGAUGGCCGUUCCGGUUUUACCGGGAUAACAGAAUCCGGCUUAUGGCUGAUAGAUUUU